rnacentral:tRNA from 2 species
GGCCCUGUGGUCUAGUGGAUGGGCGCCGGCCUCCUAAGCCGGUCUACGCAGGUUCGAUUCCUGCCAGGGUCA